CCCGAACGAACGAGACACUCGCACCACUCAUCCACUUCUCUCUCUAGCCGCUCUCCAUUCCCCAUGCCACCGUCUCCCGUCCGCUCCACGCCCCCACCUCCCCACCGCCGUCCCCAGCUCACCGGCGCUGCCCUAUCCUAUCCUCGCCGCCACGCGCAUUUGCUGCCGCGCGACGACAUCGGCGCCCUCGUAGCUGGGACUCCGCCUAGUCAACUUUGAUUGGGAGGUGGUGACGCAUCCGUACCGGCGGGGAGGUGGUGGAUGGGGCGCGGCCAUUUGCGAGCACCAGGAGCGGUGGUGGUGGCCAGGGCUGCGCCGUGUCCGGGGCAAAGUGCACCGCACUGAGGAGGCGUCGGCAUCGACGGCAGGGCGCGGAGGCGCACCUCGAUUCAGGAGACGCGCGCGCGGGAGGCGACGUUGUCGCUUGUCCAUCAAGAGCAGAUGCGGGCGGAGGCGGCGAGCGCGCUGUCGGCCACGUCGGGGACGGGAUGCCCCUCCCACUCCCACUCGCUGCGCGUCGAGCUUGACAUGGCCGCGAGCUUGCUUUCUAGGCGGGGGCUGCGGGGUGGUGCACGCCAUGGAGACCGCUGGGCUCGCCACUGAUUUUGAGCAGCGUCAUGGGAGCCAGCAAGAGACGAUUCAUCAAUUGUGUUGCUGACGAAGGAGUUGGACUAGAAGACUUUGAAGACCCAGAAGACUUUGCUGAGCCAGGCAAGCAGCCCUUUGACCAUACCGUGAAACCUUUUUAUGCAUGUCAUAUAGCACUUGUUGUUGUUGCACCGGAAUCAUGAUGGGAGGGUACCACUUUGGCAUGGAAGAGCAGGAAUUUGAGGAAGAGUUGUUCUGAGCCGAACAUGCGAACGAGGACGAUGUCCCAGUCAGAAUGCCUGUAGGGUUAAAGCAGAUUGCAUGGGUUCUACUUAUCUAUGAAGACUUCCGCUAUUUGUGUUUAUUCGAUGUUUAGCCGUGAGGCUUAUCUAUGUAAGACUUGACCAUAAUGGUCAUAAUUUGUGUAAGACGGUACGUUUGGAUGUAAGACUCUUGUUAUUCA